rnacentral:rRNA from 1 species
UACGUAGGGGGCAAGCGUUGUCCGGAUUGAUUGGGCGUAAAGAGCGUGUAGGCGGUCUGGUAGGUCCGUUGUGAAAACUCGAGGCUCAACCUCGAGACGCCGAUGGAAACCCUCAGACUAGAGUCCGGAAGAGGAGAGUGGAAUUCCUGGUGUAGCGGUGAAAUGCGCAGAUAUCAGGAAGAACACCCGUGGCGAAGGCGGCUCUCUAGUACGUGACUGACGCUGAGACGCGAAAGCGUGGGGAGCGAACAGG